GAUGAACGCUAGCGAUAGGCUUAACACAUGCAAGUCGAGGGGCAGCAUGGUCUUAGCUUGCUAAGACUGAUGGCGACCGGCGCACGGGUGCGUAACGCGUAUGCAACUUGCCUCACAGAGGGGGAUAACCCGUCGAAAGUCGGACUAAUACCGCGUACACUUGGGAUAGGGCAUCCUGACCCAAGGAAAUGAAAUUCGCUGUGAGAUAGGCAUGCGUGCUAUUAGCUAGUUGGUGAGGUAACGGCUCACCAAGGCGACGAUGGGUAGGGGAACUGAGAGGGUGAACCCUGACACGGGUACUGAGCCACGGACCAGACUCAUACGGGAGGGAGCAGUGAGGAAUAUUGGUCAAUGGGCGAGUGCCUGAACCGGCCAAGUCGCGUGAAGGAUGACUGUCUUAUGGAUUGUAGCCUUCUUUUAUACGGGAAUAACAAGAGGCACGUGUGGCUGCGUGAAGGUACCGUAUGAAUAAGCAUCGGCUAACUCCGUG
rnacentral:rRNA from 1 species